GGGCCCAUAGCUCAGUUGGUAGAGCAGUACUUUUGCAAAGUAAAGGUCAGGAGUUCGAAUCUCCUUGGGUCCA
rnacentral:tRNA from 2 species